ACCAAUGCUACGGAGAAAAAUCUUCAGGCCAGGAUAAUUCGGGAAGGAAUCGAAAUUGAAAAACGUCCCAACUGCCUUAACAAGCGAGAUGUUUCGCAGAGACUACCACAAACAUGGAGGACGUUGUUGUCACGCAAGAUACCUGAAAAUAACUCAGGUACCCGGUCAGGCAGACCGGGUACCUGACUCAUGUAAGUGAUUCUUGAAAAUGGCUCAAAAGCAGGAACCGAAACGUCGAAACAAUGAAAAUUACAGACACUGUUCAACCCGGACAACAGUGUGAACAUGUAAAAUGUUGAAUAAUAAAUAUCGAGAUAAAAAAUAUGAACUUCAAGGAUUUCAAAAUACUCGAAUAUACAGUUUCUAAGUGCACUUAGGAUAACAUGAGUAUCUAAAAUUUCUUUCAAUUAUCGACCGUAUAUAAUGACGAGCCGGUUGUUUUAUUAAUAGUUUUGAAUCUUUUUUGAAUCUAAAUGAUGACUUUUCGUUUUGCAGUGUUUCUGGAAGAAGAUUAAAUACUUUUGGUGCUUAAUAUUGAUAGCAGUUUUGGCCUGUUGAUUUCGAAGCGAAAGGAUACACUUGCUCAGUAUGUGGAAAGAGGUACAAACAAAAUUGUUCACUUUGGAGGCAUACAAAGUACGAAUGUCAGAAAAAGCCAACAUUCAAAUGUUUUUACUGCCCAUAUAUGUCCAAACAAAAAUCGCCAAUGGUCAAUCACAUGAUGAUCAAACACAAUCAUAAGGACCCGAAACAUUUUCGAUAAACUGUAACUCUUCUUCCUUUAUAAUGAAAAAUCGUUACUUUUGUUGAUGUUAUACAUAUUGAGAAUUUACUUGUGUUUUGAAAGUUAUAUUUCAGAGUCUUUUUCUUCUGAAACAGAAAAUAAAUUGAUAUUCAAGAAAUUACA